GUUCACUACAGCAGCACAUGUGCUAAAAUUGCAACAAUGCAGAGAAGAUUAGCAUGUCCCCUAUGCAAGGAUGACAUGCAAAUUCAUGAAGCAGUCCAUAAUUUU
rnacentral:snRNA from 1 species